rnacentral:rRNA from 1 species
GAUGAACGCUGGCUACAGGCUUAACACAUGCAAGUCGAGGGGAAACGACGGGGAAGCUUGCUUCCCCGGGCGUCGACCGGCGCACGGGUGAGUAACGCGUAUCCAACCUGCCUCUGACUGAGGGAUAACCCGUCGAAAGUCGGCCUAAUACCUCAUGGUAUCGUCUGCGGGCAUCCAACGACGAUUAAAGAUUUCAUCGGUCAGGGAUGGGGAUGCGUCUGAUUAGCUUGUUGGCGGGGUAACGGCCCACCAAGGCUACGAUCAGUAGGGGUUCUGAGAGGAAGGUCCCCCACAUUGGAACUGAGACACGGCCCAAACUCCUACGGGAGGCAGCAGUGAGGAAUAUUGGUCAAUGGGCGAGAGCCUGAACCAGCCAAGUAGCGUGCAGGAAGACGGCCCUAUGGGUUGUAAACUGCUUUUAUGCGGGGAUAAAGUGAGGGACGUGUCCCUCAUUGCAGGUACCGCAUGAAUAAGGACCGGCUAAUUCCGUG